rnacentral:rRNA from 1 species
GACGAACGCUGGCGGCGUGCUUAACACAUGCAAGUCGAACGAAGUGGCGAACGGGUGAGUAACGCGUAAUCAACCUGCCCUUCAGAGGGGGACAACAGUUGGAAACGACUACUAAUACCGCAUACUGAGGGAGGGGAUUGCGUCUGAUUGGCGGGUUGGAGGGGUAACGGCCCACCAAGGCGAUGAUAAGUAGCCGGUCUGAGAGGAUGAACGGCCAAAAUGGGACUGAGACACGGCCCAGACUCCUACGGGAGGCAGCAGUGGGGAAUCUUCCGCAAUGGAGGAAAGUCUGACGGAGCAACGCCGCGUGAGUGAUGAAGGCUUUCGGGUUGUAAAGCUCUGUUAAUCGGGACGCGGUACCGGAAUAGAAAGCGACGGCUAACUACGUGCCAGCAGCCGCGGUAAUUC